UCGUGCAGCAUUGGGCUGUGUCCCUGGCCUGGACGAGGUAUGGGCCAGCAGGAGGCUGCCUGUCUGCCACUCUGGGCUUCCCGCACACUGGAGGCGGUCACCCUAUGGAGCGGCAGUCACCCUGUGGAGCAGCUCUUCCCCUGGCCUGUGCCUUCAUUUGGGGCUCCCUGGCUCUCCCUUAGUGACCCCACAGCCGUUGGCUCCAGCCCUUUCAGCCCCCCACAUCCUGUUGUGCAUAAUUGGGGAAGAGUACAGGGCUGACUCCAGAGCAGGACAUCCACCCACACUGCCCCUCGGUGGGAAACAUGAAUAGAACAGCCUGCUGGAGGUGUCCACCAUCUUGCAGUGAGGAGGGAUGAGGGUAGAUGGCAGGUGGGUGGCCGGUGUGCAGACUCACCAUAGGCCAAGGCCCAGGACGGGGUGGCACAGACUGCCCUCCUUUCAGACGAGCAGUACUACCUUCCGGGUGUUGUGAGGGUCUGUUGAGGGCUGUGGGUGGCAUCAGUCCCAAGAGACUGAUUGAUCUAAGGAUGGGUGAAGUCAUUGCCAUCUGCGCCCACUCUUGAGAGACCUGGGUGGACCGCACAAGCCAGGUGAAGCAGGCCUGUGAGGAUGGCCCACCAGGGCUGUGGGUGCGUUCUUCGGGUGAGGUCCUGAGGCAGGGGGAUGUCUGCAGAGCGUUUUCAUUUACUUUAGUUUCAGAGGUCAUUUUCACUUUUUUUUUUUUUUACACAUUUCUGUGCCUAUUCUUUUCACUGUUAUAAAAAAGCUUUUGGGGGAGAAAUUAAGGAGGCAUGUAUCACUUGGAGCGGCCACAACACCCCUGCAUUAGAAUCUCUUCAUGGAGACCAGGACCCUCCCCAAGGCCUCCAGAUGGGGACUUCAGGUCCCCUGGUGAGCUUUUCAGGGACGUGGCCAGUUUGGUCUUGCUCUGAGGUCUGUCCCAUUACCCUGUCACCUUGUCUGUAGCUAAUGGCCCUGACUCUCCUGUCAGGCACCUAUCCAGUUGGCCCCGGCCCCAGGUCGUUGCCAACACCACCAGCGUGUGUGGUCAACCCCUGCCCAUCCUUCACUCAGAGGUCCAGGUGUCAGGGCUGGAGGGUGGUGAGAGCCCCAGGAGAAAGAAACUGGUGUGACCUGGGCAGGGGUGUUGGGUGGGGAGCUGCAGAAGUGCAAGUUCCUCCACCUGGGACUAAUUUCAGGCCUGCUGGUCCCCGUGGAGCCAGUGCGGGACUUCUCUUAUUGUCCUCAGGACUGACUCUGGCUGUGGCCGCUCCUUUGGCACUCUUCUGGCUGCCCUGCAGAGCCCCAGCCUCCCUGUAGCUCCCUCCCUGUCCCGUGCUCACACUGGCUCCUGUCUUGUGGAAGGGUCUGAGGAGCUUGGUGGUAUGUGGCCCUGGUCCUCCUGCCACCGUGGUGGAGCUGAGCAUAGCCAGGGAGCGUUGGAAACUUCCCAGCAGCAGCUGCCGCAUAUCCUGGGGUGGCUUGUCCCUGACUUGCCCCUUCAUGCCUUCCUUGUAUGAGUCUCUGUUCCUCCUCCACCUGCCAACCUCUGCUCACCCUUCAAGACCCCUCUGGAAGAUCCCUGCCUCUGCGAGGUCGCCUGCGGCCCUGUGUCACCACCUCCCUGGCCCCCAGGCUCCCUCGGUUCCUCUUCUACCCCAGGAGGUGAGCCAGGGAAGCUCCAGGAAAUGCCCCCUGCCCUUACCUUGCGCCCUGCUGUUGUGACUUCACUCCUUGGAAGUUCUGGAAGCCACCUACUGAACUGAGUCCAUGACCUCCAGCCCAGGACCUGACCACAGCUGGGCCCUCCCAGUGUGCCCUGUGCAGCUCAGUGGCCUGCUCGAAAGGCCCUCCAGCAGCUUAUCUUGCUGUGGAAAGGCUCCCAGAUCCUCCUGCCUCAGGCUCCCAAGUCAUGAGUUCUCCAGGGUCAUUUUCAAACUGACCCCCCUGGGGGAGGCCCAGUGUGGCUUCAAGCCCAAUGAUAAUCCCCCUCCACCCCACCCCGCUUCCAAGAAGUGCUGAGGGGCCCAAGACAGGACAAUGUGAGGGACACGCUGUCUUCCUGGACAGCCACCGGUGCCUCUUCUGCAGCCCCUCCCGCUUGCCAUCAAGGUAGGAGUCUACUCCCCACCCAUGGUGGUCCACCUUAGCGACUGGCCUGGAGUCGGAGGAGGCCCAGAGGACUGUGCUGUGUGGUUCUGGGCUCUCAGAGAAGCCGGCUGUUCUUAUGCUGGGAAGUCUCAUGGGGAGGCCAUGAGAGGGGCGCCAGUGGGUGGCCAGCCGGCCAUCUGAACUGUAAGUGCAGGAGUAAGGCACUGUGGGUCCAACCCCAGUACCAAAGAAAAGUGUGGCGGAUGGGGUGUGGUGACCUCUUCUGAGGCUGGGCCACAGCAUGCCUGGGUUUCCGCCUCCCUCUCGGGGAUCUCGGAAGACAAGCAGUCUCCCCUCAGCUGCCAUGCUGGGUGGGUCUUCUAGCAGUCCUGCUCCCAGCCUGCUAAGGAGGAACUGAGGCCUCCACAACAGCCAGCCAUCUGGGAACAGACCCUGAGCCCCUGUGAGGCUGCAUAGGGCUAGCCCUCGGGCAUCCUCUCUGGAGCUUCCCGAGAGACCUGAGCCUGACCCACCUUGGCAUGGGUCAGUCUGACGACAGAACUGGAGACAUUCGAGGUGCUGCUAUGGAGUGAGUUGUGUCUCUUGUUCAUGUGCUAAAGCCUGACCCUCAACACGUGCAAAGCUCCCUAGGAUGGGCCCUGCUAUGGUUGGUCUGUGGUAUCCCCCAGAAGCUCAUGAGAGACAGCCAGGACGCUCCAAGGUCAGAUGAUAGCCUGUGAGAGCCGCGGCUGCCUCAGCGGGUCAUCCCCUGGACUAGACUAGCUGGUGGGGACUGCAGCUAGUAUGUAGGGUGCGGCUGGAGAGGCUGGGUCCCGGGGAUGUGCCUUUGGGGUUAUAUUGUGUCCCUGGCCUGUAGCUUGCGCUCUCUCUGCUUCCUGGCCACCAUGAAUGACCAGCUGUCUGCCAUGCCCUUCCUCCAUGAUGCUCUGC